rnacentral:rRNA from 1 species
AUUGAACGCUGGCGGCAUGCUUUACACAUGCAAGUCGAACGGUAACAGGCCGCCAGGUGCUGACGAGUGGCGAACGGGUGAGUAAUGCAUCGGAACGUGCCCAGUCGUGGGGGAUAACUACUCGAAAGAGUAGCUAAUACCGCAUACGAUCUAUGGAUGAAAGCGGGGGACCGUAAGGCCUCGCGCGAUUAGAGCGGCCGAUGUCAGAUUAGGUAGUUGGUGGGGUAAAGGCUCACCAAGCCAACGAUCUGUAGCUGGUCUGAGAGGACGACCAGCCACACUGGGACUGAGACACGGCCCAGACUCCUACGGGAGGCAGCAGUGGGGAAUUUUGGACAAUGGGCGCAAGCCUGAUCCAGCAAUGCCGCGUGCAGGAAGAAGGCCUUCGGGUUGUAAACUGCUUUUGUACGGAACGAAACGGCUCUGGUUAAUACCCGGGGCUAAUGACGGUACCGUAAGAAUAAGCACCGGCUAACUACGUG